UUCGUCUGUCGUUUAUGAGGAUGAGCACCUCCGCAGGAGGUUCGAGCCUCGCGAAGCGAGACAACGUUGCUUCAGCAACGGCCCGCA
rnacentral:sRNA from 1 species